AACGAUGGAUAUCUUGGUUCCCAUAACGAUGAAGAACGCAGCGAAGUGCGAUAAGCAGUGCGAAUUGCAGAACCGUGAGUCAUCAGAUCUUUGAACGCAAAUGGCGCU
rnacentral:rRNA from 1 species